GAUCCUGGCUCAGAUUGAACGCUGGCGGCAGGCUUAACACAUGCAAGUCGAACGGUAGCAGGUAAGUACUUGUACUUAUGCUGACGAGUGGCGGACGGGUGAGUAAUGCUUGGGGAUCUGGCUUAUGGAGGGGGAUAACGACGGGAAACUGUCGCUAAUGCCGCGUAGAAUCGAGAGAUGAAAGUGUGGGACCUUCGGCCGACAUGCCAUAGGAUGAACCCAAGUGGGAGUUAGGUAGUUGGG
rnacentral:rRNA from 1 species